rnacentral:misc_RNA from 1 species
GAUUUUGGUGGACAGCCUGCUGGAUGGAAGCUGAAAAAGGAAUAUCUGCCUGAAGGAUGGAUAUGCUUGGUCUGUGGCGCUUCUGAAGAUCAGGAGAUCCCUUCCAACUUCAUAAAACUUCCGAAAGACUUUUACACUCCUGAUGCUAUUGCAGCUUCAGACGUCUUGCUUGGUAAAAUUGGGUAUGGCACAACAAGUGAAGCCUUGGCAUACAAGGUGCCACUUAUCUUUGUACGCAGAGAUUACUUUAAUG